CCCAAGACUUGCAGCCAGCUACUUCCCAUUUUGAGACCAUACCCUAUGGACCUUGCCUGUUCCAGAAAAGGCAGAAGCCCAUGCACCUCCAAGACUCCCUAAUUGGUCUGUUAAAAAAUACAAGAGAUCCAGAGAACAUUAACGAUCACAUGAUUUAAAGGAGUCUUUGACACUGUGAACUUGAAAUGUCAAAAUAAUCUUUGCAUUAUUUUUUCCAUAAAAAUAGAUUUUUCAAGAUGGCCAUUGUGACAUUUGCUUCCCCAGAAAUAAAACAUUAAUAACAA